CACCACCCUCUUUCAGCACACCUUCUUCCUGGCUGCCUCCUGCUCUCGGGCCUAAUCUCAACUCUUGGGGGGCUUGGUGAUAGCUGGUGGAUGUUUUGUCUGCUUAUCAUACCUUCUCAUCCUCCUUCUUCAGGUUACGGCACUCUUCCUGUUUGGUAUUCGUUCCCUCUUUUCCUGGUGUUCUUGGUGAGGGUCCCCUCCCCCACUGGUGAGGAGGAUUCCCACCCCCUCACCCCCACAGUCCCGUGACCCAAGCAGGACCAAUCAGGGCCGUAUCUGAACUUCACCUAAGGGAGGUGGGAAAAAAGUCUUCUUUGUGGGUGGAUCUGAGGCUACGGCUCCAGGAAGCCAUCUUCCUGUGUGAGGUGGAGGGAGGCUGUGUGGAGAAACAAGCAGGGUGGGUGUUGGGUGUGGGAGGAAGAGAGAGUGAAUCCUGGUGUUAGGGAAUUCUCUCGAGGCCUGGUUUCUGCAGCUCACUCUUCAGGCAUGUGAAUAGCCCGAGUAUCCUUCCCAGGUGGAUAGCAGUGCGGGAAGCUGGCGUCUGGAAUCACCAUGGUGACUUUGAUUUCUAGCUGUGAGGAAGAACAUGCCCACGUGGCCAUUUCUCCAGCACCAUGGUAUCUAUGGGCACAGAAGAUAUCUGCAGAGAUCAUGGGGGCAGGAUCCGGGAGCAUCCACACUGACAGCUGGACACUUCCUGCCAGUGCAUUCUAGGGAGAGCUGACCUCUAGCAUCCUCUGUAGUGACCAACAGAAAUUGAAGAUCAAAACAAUACCUUUUGAAAGAAUUGGCAAAGGAAUACAAGAGGACCCGACACCUGGAUGAUGCAGCUCCUGGUGGACAGAGGUCUUCAGAUGGAAUCCCUACCAUGACCUAAAAAACUCUACAAAAUCUGGCUUCGGCUCUCCACGCAUUCCCCUCUGUCCUCAGUGUCUUUGUUCUGGUUCUUGAAAUGUCAGCCAUGGUUUAUGGUCUGUGUCUCCCCUUGAGACUGUCUUCUCCCAGAUAUUUUUUCAUGCUUCAUACUUUGUACACCGCGUACCCUUUUCUGAUUUCUUUUUAUAAAAUAGCAUCCCCCAACCAAUAGUGUUUCUUGACCUUACUUAAUUUUUCAUCUUAACCUCUGACAUAGUAUUACAUAAUUAUUUGAUCAUUUAUUUCUUGCUCUUGUCUCCCACUGAAAUGGAAGACCCACCAGGGCAGGGACAUUACCUACUUCGUGGCUUUAUCCUUCAUGCCUAGAACAGAAUGGCAUAUAGUCCUAGAAUUCUAAAUUGAUGCUCAUUCAUGUGUUCCUCCUGCAUGUUUUCUUUGUGAUUUAAAUUAUGUCUUUCUGCAGGGACAAGAGCUUUGCCUUCUAUUUUUGUUUUAUUUCCUGAAUUUCCUUUGGAUAAUUAAUAAAUAGCUUUGACCCGCCUUUAUUAUUUCCGUUCAACCAAUUUGUUUGUCAUGGCUUAAAGAACUAGUUAGAAAUUUGGCUGCGGAGAGGUAAGCUAGGUUUUGAAGGCCUCUAAACAUGACUCAGCCAAUUCAUUAUGUAAACUUUGCCACCAUAGACUGUUGAACAUGGGCAAGACUAAGAGAAUUUUGUAAGGGGAUUUAAAGCAGAUGAUGGGAGGGAGGACUCCCUGAUUUGUUUAUUAUUUAUGCUGUACUAGGAAAAACAAUGGUUACUGGUUAUCAUAGUCUAAUUACUGGUUAUUAGACUAUAGACUAUAAGUCCAUGAAGGUAGAGAUCUUGCUCUCUUGCUCACCUGUAUUCAGGACCUAGAAUAGUGUCUAGUAUAUAGUUGGGGUUCAACAGAUGUUUUGAAUGAAUCACCAAAUGAAAGAAGGAAUAUUGCCAUUGGGGGAGGGGGCAGGAGGAUACUCUGGAAAGCAAUACCGGUAGUAUUUCUUAUGCAUAUGCCUUUUUUUCACACUUCUGUUAUCAGCAGAAUAAAUCAGAGUCCUAUCACCACA